UCUCAUUUAGUCUAUCCAAAUGCAUGAUGCCAUGCAACCCAAAUGGACCAUGCCGGGUCGGGUCAAGUACAUACCAGAAAUAGUUAUGGAUUUAGACACCUUAUCCAACAGUCUCCCACUUGGAUAAGUCUAAUAACUAUAACUGCAAGUAUGACUUUACGAACCGAUCAAUGAUCGUUGCUCUUUCAAGGUCUCUCAGAACUGAGAAGAUGAUGAUACGCCAUUUAAGAUAUGUGAUCAUAUAAUCCUAUGUUCUAGAUAUCAACUGGACAAAUACAUGGAACAAUGUCUUAUUUAUUGUCCAACUGUUUCUUUCCUGAUUUCCGAUUUAUUUGGCAUAGAACUUAAAUGAACGCAUCAAAUUAGUUCUGACCGGGCCUGGUACAUAGGUCAAAAACAAAAUUGUUAAGGGGCCCAGAUAUCAGCCUCUAAUCCAAGAAAGAUUAGAUAAACUUUGACUCAUAUGUUUGAAGGGUUUUGAGCAUUCUAACACUUCCUAAGUGUACAUGCAACCCUAAUAACCUUGGAUCUAUGUUUGUCUAAUUAUCAUUCAAAGUUGAAUUUCCAAGGUUAUAUUCCUAUCUAGCAUACAUGGUGAACAAUUUUAACUUGAAUGAAAGAUAUAAUAACUUACCUUGUUGUUGCUUAUGUUCCUUGAAACCGUGUGAGCCUAGCACCCCAAGUGUGAUGCCUCAAAUGCUUCACACAACACCAAAUGCUCUUGGAAAGACUCUUGAGAUAAUACACACUUCUUCAAAUCGGCCAAGCCCUCUAGUUUCUUAUGUCUAGCCGAUUUUGGUGGAGAAUGGGACUCUUAUAUAGUGUUGACACAUCUAGGGUUACACCAUGUAAACCCUAAUGUGUCAUGACUCUUCAUUUCCAUGACCCAUGGGUUUGUAACUCCCAUGGAGCAUCCAUGGAGCAUCCUAUGGGUAGAACCCAACUUGAUAAUCCAUGGAGCCUCUUAGCCCACUAUACAAGAUAUGGAUGAUUUACAUAAUCAACCCAUAUAUUUAAUUAGUUAUCUUUUGAUCACUUAAUUAAUUCCAAAUUAAUUCUUUGAUCAAACUAAUCAAAUAAUAUUAUUAAUUUAUUAGAACUUAUAAUAUAUUAAUAUACUCCAAGUGUUAUUUCUCUCAUUUAGUCUAUCCAAUUGCAUGGUGCCAUGCAAACCAAAUGGACCAUGCCAGGUCGGGUCAAGUACACACCUGAAAUAGUUAUGGACUUAGACACCUUAUCCAACAGUCUCCCACUUGGAUAAGUCUAAUAACUAUAUCUCUAGUACUUCAGGAACCGACCGGCAAUCGUAGCUCUUUCAAGGUCUCUCGGAACUGAGAAGAUGAUGGUACGCCAUUUAAGAUAAGUGAUCAUAUAAUCCUCCGUUCUAGAUAUCAGCCGGACAAAUACAUGGAACAUUGUCUUGCUUAUUGUCCAGCAUUUGUUUCCCGAUUUCCGAUUUGUUUGACAUAGAACUUAAUUGAACACAUCAACUUAGUUCUGACCGGGCCCGGUACAUGGGUCAAAACAAAAUCAUCGAGGGGCCCAGAUAUCAGCUUCUAAUCCAAGAAGGAACAGAUAAACUUCGACUCAUAUGUUUGUUCUACCACUCAUUGAAUUACAC
rnacentral:lncRNA from 1 species